UACGUAGGGUGCGAGCGUUAAUCGGAAUUACUGGGCGUAAAGCGUGCGCAGGCGGUUUGGUAAGACAGAUGUGAAAUCCCCGGGCUUAACCUGGGAACUGCAUUUGUGACUGCCAGACUAGAGUGUAGCAGAGGGGGGUAGAAUUCCACGUGUAGCAAUGAAAUGCGUAGAGAUGUGGAGGAAUACCGAUGGCGAAGGCAGCCCCCUGGGCUAACACUGACGCUCAUGCACGAAAGCGUGGGGAGCAAACAGGAUUAGAUACCCUGGUAGUCCACGCCCUAAACGAUGUCAACUAGGUGUUGGGGAAGGAGACUUCUUUAGUACCGCAGCUAACGCGUGAAGUUGACCGCCUGGGGAGUACGGUCGCAAGAUUAAAACUCAAAGGAAUUGACGGGGACCCGCACAAGCGGUGGAUUAUGUGGAUUAAUUCGAUGCAACGCGAAAAACCUUACCUACCCUUGACAUGUCAGGAAGAUUCCAGAGAUGGGAUUGUGCCCGAAAGGGAACCUGAACACAGGUGCUGCAUGGCUGUCGUCGGCUCGUGUCGUGAGAUGUUGGGUUAAGUCCCACAACGAGCGCAACCCUUGUCAUUAAUUGCCAUCAUUUAGUUGGGCACUUUAAUGAGACUGCCGGUGAUUAACCGGAGGAAGGUGGGGAUGACGUCAAGUCCUCAUGGCCCUUAUGGGUAGGGCUUCACACGUAAUACAAUGGUCGGUACAGAGGGUUGCCAACCCGCGAGGGGGAGCUAAUCUCAGAAAGCCGAUCGUAGUCCGGAUCGGAGUCUGCAACUCGACUCCGUGAAGUCGGAAUCGCUAGUAAUCGCGGAUCAGCAUGUCGCGGUGAAUACGUUCCCGGGUCU
rnacentral:rRNA from 1 species